rnacentral:rRNA from 1 species
UAGGGAAUCUUCCACAAUGGGCGAAAGCCUGAUGGAGCAACGCCGCGUGUGUGAUGAAGGGUUUCGGCUCGUAAAACACUGUUGUAAGAGAAGAAUGACAUUGAGAGUAACUGUUCAAUGUGUGACGGUAUCUUACCAGAAAGGAGCGGCUAAAUACGUGUCAG